rnacentral:rRNA from 1 species
UACGUAGGGGGCAAGCGUUGUCCGGAUUCAUUGGGCGUAAAGAGCGUGUAGGCGGCCAGGUAGGUCGGUUGUGAAAACUGGAGGCUCAACCUUCAGAGGUCGACCGAAACCAUCUGGCUAGAGUCCGGGAGAGGAGAGUGGAAUUCCUGGUGUAGCGGUGAAAUGCGCAGAUAUCAGGAAGAACACCCGUGGCGAAAGCGGCUCUCUGGAACGGUGCUGACGCUGAGACGCGAAAGCGUGGGGGAGCGAACAGG